UACGUAGGGUGCGAGCGUUGUCCGGAAUUAUUGGGCGUAAAGGGCUCGUAGGCGGUCUGUCGCGUCGGUAGUGAAAACUCAGGGCUUAACCCUGAGCCUGCUUCCGAUACGGGCAGACUAGAGGUAUGCAGGGGAGAAUGAAUUCCUGGUGUAGCGGUGAAAUGCGCAGAUAUCAGGAGGAACACCAGUGGCGAAGGCGGUUCUCUGGGCAUUACCUGACGCUGAGGAGCGAAAGUGUGGGGAGCGAACAGG
rnacentral:rRNA from 1 species